rnacentral:rRNA from 1 species
ACGCUCGACACCUACGGGAGGCAGCAGUGGGGAAUAUUGCACAAUGGGGGAAACCCUGAUGCAGCGACGCCGCGUGAGCGAAGAAGUAUCUCGGUAUGUAAAGCUCUAUCAGCAGGGAAGAAAAUGACGGUACCUGACUAAGAAGCACCGGCUAAAUACGUGCCACAGCCGCGGUAAUCUGAGCGGGCUGGCAAGGC